rnacentral:rRNA from 1 species
UACGUAGGGUGCGAGCGUUGUCCGGAAUUAUUGGGCGUAAAGGGCUCGUAGGCGGUUUGUCGCGUCGGGAGUGAAAUCCACUGGCUUAACUGGUGGCUUGCUUUCGAUACGGGCAGACUGGAGGUAUGCAGGGGAGAACGGAAUUCCUGGUGUAAGCGGUGAAAUGCGCAGAUAUCAGGAGGAACACCGGUGGCGAAGGCGGUUCUCCUGGGCAUGUCCUGACGUGAGGAGCGAAAGUGUGGGGAGCGAACAGG